rnacentral:rRNA from 1 species
GACGUUAGCGGCGGACGGGUGAGUAACACGUGGGCAACCUGCCCAUNAGACUGGGAUAACUUCGGGANACCNAAGCUAAUACCGGAUAGGAUCUUCUCCUUCAUGGGAGAUGGAUUGANAGAUGGNNUCGGCUAUCACUUACAGAUGGGCCCGCGGUGCAUUAGCUAGUUGGUGAGGUAACGGCUCACCAAGGCCACGAUGCAUAGCCGACCUGAGAGGGUGAUCGGCCACACUGGGACUGAGACACGGCCCAGACUCCUACGGGAGGCAGCAGUAGGGAAUCUUCCGNNNUNGACGAAAGUCUGACGGAGCAACGCCGCGUGAGUGAUGAAGGCUUUCGGGUCGUAAAACUCUGUUGUUAGGGAAGAACAAGUACAAGAGUAACUGCUUGUACCUUGACGGUACCUAACCAGAAAGCCACGGCUAACUACGUGCCAGCAGCCGCGGUAAUACGUAGGUGGCAAGCGUUAUCCGGAAUUAUUGGNCGUAAAGCGCGCGCAGGCGGUUUCUUAAGUCUGAUGUGAAAGCCCACGGCUCAACCGUGGAGGGUCAUUGGAAACUGGGGAACUUGAGUGCAGAAGAGAAAAGCGGAAUUCCACGUGUAGCGGUGAAAUGCGUAGAGAUGUGGAGGAACACCAGUGGCGAAGGCGGCUUUUUGGUCUGUAACUGACGCUGAGGCGCGAAAGCGUNNGGAGCAAACAGGAUUAGAUACCCUGGUAGUCCACGCCGUAAACGAUGAGUGCUAAGUGUUAGAGGGUUUCCGCCCCUUAGUGNNGCAGCNAACGCAUUAAGCACUCCGCCUGGGGAGUACGGUCGCAAGACUGAAACUCAAAGGAAUUGACGGGGGCCCGCACAAGCGGUGGAGCAUGUGGUUUAAUNNGAAGCANNCGCGAAGAACCUU